UUUGGCAUAACAGAAUUUGAAGAGACACUUUUCAAAAUUCAAAGAGAAGUCAAGAGCAAAUAAAAAUACUUCUAUAAUCUGUUUGUUCAUCGUUAUCUACCCCAAUUCCAACAAAAUUUUAGCACUGCAGACCUUCUGAAACUCAAAUAAAGACAUCAGCCACGAACUCCAGCAAUAAGAUUUGGAAGUCGAAGAGAAACUGGAAGAAACCGGGACAAAAAUUAGGAGAAAUCAUACCUGAAAUUAGAACAAUCUGAGAAAAUUUAAAAGAACUGAAUAAAGUAACCUUUGAAAGUAUGGAAAAAAAUAAUUAAGAGAUGUUCAAAAGAAACAUUUAAGGAAGGGGAUGAACGGAUGAACAAGAACAUAGAAGAAAAACAAACAUGAAUUUCAUCCAUGAAAUUGAAAAUUUUGAAAAGAAAUGAAAGAUUAAAGAAAAAUUGAGAGAAAAACUUACUUGAAAUUGAAAGAUUCCACCGAGAUGAUGAUGAGAAGUCAAAGAUUAGUCCUUGAAAGUGUGGAGAGUAUACAAUUGACAGAGCAAAUGAAAUUAUG
rnacentral:lncRNA from 1 species